rnacentral:rRNA from 1 species
GACGAACGCUGGCGGCGUGCCUAAUACAUGCAAGUAGAACGCACAGUUUAUACCGUAGCUUGCUACACUAUAGACUGUGAGUUGCGAACGGGUGAGUAACGCGUAGGUAACCUGCCUGGUAGCGGGGGAUAACUAUUGGAAACGAUAGCUAAUACCGCAUAAUAUUAAUUAUUGCAUGAUAAUUAAUUGAAAGGUGCAAUUGCACCACUACCAGAUGGACCUGCGUUGUAUUAGCUAGUAGGUGAGGUAACGGCCCACCUAGGCGACGAUACAUAGCCGACCUGAGAGGGUGAGCUGCCACACUGGGACUGGAACACGACCCAGAAUACUACGGGAGGCAGCCGUAGGGAAUCUUCGGCAAUGGACGAAAGUGUGAACAAGGGACGCCGCGUGAGAGACGGAUGCUGUCGGAUCGUGAAGGUCUGUUGGGAGAGAGGGAUGGGAAUGAGUGUGGACAGUUCACACUAUGACGGUAUCUUACGAGAAAGGGACGGCUAACUACGUG